UGUGGCUGCUUCUCACGUCAACAACAUCGUUACAAUGACUCCAGUUCUCAUCGCACUCGUAGUGUCGUCGCUGAUGCUUCAAGGUCACUGCCAGGGUGUGACGCAACACCCUGAAAUCAACUGGAGUCUUGCUUCCAAAUCGGCAGAGAUGAACUGCAGCCACAACAAAGAUGCCAGUCACACCCAGAUGUACUGGUACAGACAGCGUCCAGGAGAGACCAUGACCCUGGUGGUCUACACAGUUUUUGGCGGACAGCCAGAUUACGGGAAGCUCCCUCAGACCAAAUAUUCAGCCGUUAAAGAAAGUUCUGAGAGCGGCGCUCUUACUGUGAAGGACUUGCAGCUGGAGGACGCCGGCGUGUAUUUUUGUGCUGUCAGCAAACACAGUGAUGUGAGAGGGAAACGCAACUGAACAAAAACUGGUUGCCAGCACAUUUGGGGAGUGUUUGCAGGAUUGUA